rnacentral:rRNA from 1 species
UGUAAGCGUAUACCAAAGUUGUUGCAGUUAAAACGCUCGUAGUCGGAAUUUGGCAGUUCCGGAUGUGUGCACGUCGUGUGCGCACUUCGCGGGGAUUGCUUUUGUGGUCUUGCGUAGGAUGAGGCACUUUUAUUAGUGAACGUCCUCACGCAACCACUUUUUACUGUGAGAAAAUCAGAGUGCUCAAAGCAGGCAUUUGCCGUGAAUGUAUUAGCAUGGAAUAAUAGAAUAGGACUUGGUUCUAUUUUGUUGGUUUGUUGGGACUGAGUAAUGAUUAAGAGGGACAGUUGGGGGCAUUUGUAUUUCGGCGCUAGAGGUGAAAUUCUUAGAUUGCCGAAGGACAAACUGCUGCGAAAGCGUCUGCCAAGGAUGUUUUCAUUGA